UGAGGAAUAUUGGUCAAUGGGAGAGAUCCUGAACCAGCCAAGCCGCGUGAGGGAAGACGGCCCUAUGGGUUGUAAACCUCUUUUGUCGGAGAACAAAACCCGGGACGUGUCCCGGACUGCGUGUAUCCGAAAGAAAAAGCAUCGGCUAACUCCGUGCC
rnacentral:rRNA from 1 species